CUCUGGAGACGCCAUGAGGGCAGAAGCAGACUUGCUUGUUGGGGAGGAUCCCGGUCUUUAGCAGGAGUUGACACUGAGAUUAUUCACGGAGUUAAAAUUGAACACCUUCUGUCUUUGCUCAUUUAGCAUUCAACAGGAACUACCCUCAUGAGGCAGACAUGUGACUCGGCCCCUAAGAAUGCAGGAGAUUUGAGUAAGUGGGGAGGAAAGUAUUCAGAGGGGUACUAGUCAUCUUGCUACUCUGCGUUGGCGUCAUGGAGCAGCAGCGUUGGAGCCACCCGGGAGCUUCUGCUGUCCACGUGAGUCAGGUCGUGGUGUCUCUGUAAACCUCCAACAAGACAAAUUGGCCGAAAGUUUUUGCCUUCCACUGUCUCUCAGCCUCCCAAGUCCUCAAGUCUAACCCACUGCUCCGAACAAACAAAGCAUGUGAUUACCAGUUGUCCCAUCAGCAACAGAGCCUGCACCUUCUCCAUGGAAAAGAAAGGGUCUGCUUCCACUGACACAUGAGAGGUCAGUAGCAAUUAAUGGCAGGACAUGCCGAUGGCCCUGGGGCGUGGGGACAAUCGCUAGCUGUCCUUCGUGUAAGUUAAAGGCUCACAGAAAUCUUCCUAAGAAAUGAGUUCUGAUUCGCGGGGAGGAAGAGGAGGGAUAAGGGUGGGGACAUUCCAGGAAGAGAGAAGGGAACGCUGGACAGCAUGUUGCUGGUAGCAAUUAAUCUGUCUUGGAAUGCGUGCUCAGUCAGUCUUUUUUUGAUUGAGUCCCCAUUAAGGGGGAUGGUAGACAAGUCAAGAGAGACGGAAUCGUAAAGUGUUUUGCACGUCAGGUGGGACUUGAUGCUGCAGGCGGGGGCAGGGGUAGACUUUGAAAGUUUUGAGCAGGAACGUUAUGGGUGUAGAGCGGUGUUUCAGAAAGCUAAAUCGAGCUAUAGUGUAAAGGACGCCUUGAGGGGCAAGAGAUCUCCAUCAGUACCAGCUGUCACCGUGGCAUGGGGGGCGAAAUGACUGAGUAGAGAAAUAACAAGAAGAUUGAGCCAAUGCAUCUCCAAGUCCUGUUGAAAGUUCUUCUCAAACGAGCUUGAAAAUUGAACUCCUUGUCUCCAGCCCCGCUCUUACAGACUCUCACUCGGACAGAUACAAGGCCACCUAAAAACGUGUACCCUUUCCUGGCUAGGGCUACCCACCGGCCCUUUGCACAAAAUGCUGCCAGGUUGACCUUUUAAGAACACAAACCAGAGCAGCGCCAUUCUCCAGCAUGAAGGUGGCCACGUCUCUAGGUGCGUUCUAACACAGUGCCAAGUCUGUCGCCUGGUCCCACGGGACUCAGCCCCGCCUCUGUCUCCCUUCCCAGCGUGUGCUCUUCUUCCCCCGACUUUUUGGGCUCCAGCGACUCCAACUUAUCUUCUUAGACAAGUUACGCUUUUCUCAAUACAGGAUCUUGUUAUACAUUAGUCCCAUUCUUGGAAAUUCUUUUUUUUUUAAUUUUUUAAAAAAAUGUUGGGGGUAGUAAUUAGGGUUAUUUAUUAACUUUUUUUAAUGGAGGCACUGGGGAUUGAACCCAGGACCUGGUGCGUGCUAAGCACGUGCUCUCCCACUGAGCGAUACCCUCCCCGACUGAAAUUCUUUCUUCUCCAUCAUUUGUCAAGACACCUUCUACUCUUCUUGUACACUGUGGUCUAUACUGCAGAUGAGGCCUUAGUCACAGUUUAGACCUGGAAU